rnacentral:lncRNA from 1 species
UAACAUGUGUUAUGGAUUUUCUUUUUUUAGCUGGGCAUGGAGAGGAAUAGGAUGUCAAUGUGGUGCCCUAUGUACUGAGAAAGGAGGGAGGGGAGGAGAUCCUUUGUACAUCAACAAGUGGUCUGAACCAUAGCCAAGAACUGUGCUAACUGCAAAAAUUCCCCACAAUAAAUUAGAAGUCUCAUUCUAUUUUGGAAUAAUAGCGAAACACGCAAAGUGGUGAACUUCUCCCUGCGUCACCGUUUGUGUGUUAAGCUAGAAAAUUGUAUAAUGCAAUCAAAUCAGAUCUUAUGUUAUCCAACUUAUAUAGAAUAGAAAUUAAUAGAAAUGAAUAUCUUGGCUAAUUGAUUGAAGGGACAGUCUGAGGAUCCUUUAAGUCAGACUUUCUUCAAAAUUUCAUAGGAAAAAUUUGGUGCUCAUUGGAUGUUUUUUCUUAAUUUCUCAACAGUCCAUCCUUGUGUGAAACAUUAAUAGAUAGUAAAGUGGAGAAUCAACAGAAGUUCUUUGCUUAUUCUGGAUUGCAGCUCUUAAAGUUGAUUCUGUAGUAACUCCCAGCCCAUCACACCGGUCCCCUGAAGCACUAAUCCUGACCUGUCCCCAGGCUACUGCCCCUUGUUCCUGCAGCAAGGUACCCCAAAAGGCUGCCACUGUGCUAUAGUUUCCUCUGUCUCUGUUUGAAAUGGAAGAAAUUACAUUUUGUACUUCAUUGAGUUCUUACCACCACGUAGUGUCAAGGACACUCUUUUCCCCAAAGAUACCCAAAGGGAAAUUCUUGGUUUUUGCUCCCCGUUCCCUUGAGGUUAUGGAUCUGUAGGGGAUCUUAUGAAUGAGAGGGAGGGGGAAAGGGGUGGUAGAAGAGUUUCUAGAGAUAUGCGAGCUUUGAGGGCAGGAGUGGGACCUGUGCUGUGUGGGCUUCAUGGAGGUACCAUCACAUACGUCUGAACUGAGAUGAUUUACAGUUAUUUCUACUCAAAGAUGAAAGUCUUAGAGUCUUUCAGAAAAAUAAUGCAAACAGAGCAAUGUUAAAGCUGCAAUUCGGCUGUUUAAAUCUGCAUAGAUUACAGAAGCAGCCUUUUACCUAAGCAAGUAUUUUGGCAUUGAAUUAAUUAGCAGUUUUCUUACUGCAGUGCUUUCACAGGAGCUGCAUCCCACACCUGCACCCUCCGCCUUGCUUGGCUGCAGCCUCAGUCACAUUGCCAGGCUCAGGAUGUGCUAGCACAACCUGCACUGGUUCUGAGUCAUUCUAUGGAAUCCACAGUGUUUAGAGUUAUACCCACAAUGACCUUGCUUAAUUAGCUGUCUGUGUUGUGUAAAUUGGUACUGCAUCAGGUUGAGAAACUUGACCGGUGUUGUGUUGAAAUCUGAGGUAGAACUCUUUGUUCUCAGUGGGCAGUUAGUGAUGUGCAAGGUCCUGCACCUGGGUCAGGGUAAUCCUAAGCAUAGAUACAAGUUGGGUGGAGAAUGGCUUGUGAGCAGCCCUGAGGAGGAUUUGGGAGUGUCAGUUGAUGAAAGAUUCAAUGUGAGCCAGCAAUACGUGCUUGCAAGGCCAAUGGUAUCCUGGGUUGCAUCAAGAGAAGUGUGACCAGCAGGUUGAGGAAGGUGAUUCUGCCUCUCUGCUCUGGUGAGACCCCACCUGGAGAACCCCCAGCACAAGAAGGACAUGGAGUUAUGGGAGGAGGCCCAGAGGAGGGCUAUUAAAGUGAUCAGAGGCCUGGAGUGCCUCCCCUACGAGGACAGGCUGAGAGAGCUGGGGCUCUUCAGCCUGGAGUAGAGAAUGCUCUGCGGUAGACCUUAUAGCGACCUUUCCAGUACUUGAAGGUGGCCUACAGAAAACCUGGAGAGGGACUUUCUAUAAGGGCACAUAUCAACAGGAUGAGGGGGAAAGGUUUUAAACUGGAUGAGGGUAGAUUUAGACUAGAUGUCAGGAAGAAAUUCUUUAUUGUGAGGGUGGUGAUAUGUGAACAGGAUGCAGAGAGGUUGUGGAUGCCCCCUCCCUGGAAGAAUUUCAGGUGAGGCUGGAUGGGGCUGUGAGUAACCCAGUCUAGAGGGAGGUGUCUUUGCCUAUAGCGGGGGAGUUGGAACUAGAUGAUCUUAAAGGUCCCUUCCAACCCAAACCAUUCUAUGAUUCUGUGUUCUCACAUCAUGCCCAUGUACUGCACAGUACUACAGGAAGGUGACAUUACAGCUGUCAUUCCCCUUCUGGUCCCAAAAUUUCUUCUAGCUGUGCAAAUGUUUUUGUGUUUUUGUUUUUACAAGUCCCAGUAAAUUUAUGGCUGGUGGCCACUACCUUCAGUUAUGGCAUAAAUUUAUAUUACUAAUGUAGCCCAGCUGCAAAAUAAAUAAAUAAAUAAAGCAUGAUACUGCUGAGGUGGAGCAAAGUGCAAGUUAGGGGAUGUGCUGAGUCAACACUAUUUAUUUUUAAUAGAAUAUGCAAAAAUUGCAAGGUGAGCAAUGGGCAGCAAACAGCUUUCAGAGGUGCUGGACAACGCAGAUUGCUGGGUAAUGCCUAGCUCGAGUGUUAGAGGUAGGCCCUCGUUCUCAGAUUUCUGCCUUCUGGAGCUUUGCUUCUCUGUGCUGAUCUGGUGGCCCUGAAGCAGACAGGCUGCAAGGCUCUGCUUCUAUGGUUGUGUUCACACCACUAAAGCCAAACGAUUCUGGUCUUCUGAGAUAAUAUUCUGAGUGAAAACACCACCUAAGCAUUAUAGGUACGCCAGAAUGAGAACAGUAUUUAUAAAGUCUUUUGUCAUUCAUGAUAAAUUGUUGCAAGAACUCUUUCUCAGCUUCAGAGGAUAAAGGCCUCGAGAGGCAUCCACUGACCUAAAGCAAGGCAGUGUUACAUUCCUCAGCCAAAACAGUCAGAAAUGCAAUGGUACUGCCAUUGCACCUAAGAAAAGCGUAAUAUCUAUGCUAUACCUCAAGGAUUUUGUUCAGAACUAAACAAACUUCCAGAAAAUUGCAAACCAGAGAUUUCUGUCAUGAUUAUGCUUUCCUGAUGAAGUACAGAUGCUGGCAGGCUUUUCAAGUUGGACCACUUCAAAUCUUGAUGGCUACGUAGGCUAUGCAUCAUGUUCUCCAGGAGGAGCUUAGUUCCAAGGGUGGUCUGGCCUGGUGCAGGGCAACCAAGAAACCAAUUUGUUCUUUAGUUCAUUUAUUCUUAUGAGUAAUCUAUUCAAAGUCAAUGGAAAUCUACAGUGAGAUCUCCUCAAACAGGUGAUUUCUAGCAUCUUUUGGAAUUGAGUAGCUUUGCAGUACAGGAGAAGGUGGAAGGAAAAAAGGAACAUGUUGGAAACACUGCAGUAAUGGUUAUUUUGAUGAAUGUAUUUCAGUCACUACAAAUAUACAGUGCUUAAAGACCUAUGAGGAAAGGUAAUAAAGAGGCAAUCUGAGGAAUCUAUUAUUUCUAACAUCCCCUAGAGUGAUUAUUUGUUAAAAUUAUGCUCGUUGCAUUCCACUUCUAUACAGAAGAAAGUAUUCAGGCUGGUUUCUGAGCCUCAUGUACCCCACAGUAGUUUAUGCUGAGGGAUUUUUUAAUUUUUUCACUGAAUAGCCUCCUAUGAAGUGUUGAAGGUAGGAGAAAUAUAGCCUUCCCCUUCUGUGGCAGCAAGAAAAUUGGCAAAACUCCUCUAAUCUCCAUACAGUUCAGUCAAGCACUAAGAACUGUGUAAAAUCUCUGCAUCAAGAAGAUGAGCAUGCAUGUAUUAUCCUAUACUUGAUGGAAACUGCAGAGAAACUAUACUACAAAACCAUUCGGUAUAGGCAAAAGAGAAUUCUUCUCUGUAUCAAUUUACAAAGCCAGCUAGAUUUUUUUGCUUGAAUAGAAAGAUAAGCAGAGGAAAAUUUUAAGGUUUUAUUUUUAACUGAAAAGUUGAAUGGAGGUUCUCUCCUUCAACUUUCAAGCUGUUUUCUACUAUGGGCUAUGGCAUACAGCCAAGGAGCUCCUACCGCAAAGGAGCCUGUUGGCAGAAUUGGAUUUAGAAUGAAGCUUCAGUGAUACAUAGAUCAUGAGUCUGAAUUCAGAGUUCUGUUUUACACUUUAAUUGAAGUAUGCAUCAUAGAUAUAUUAAAAUUCAAAUGCUUAACUAAUGUAAAGGUCAAUGAAAUGCAUACACUCUUCCUACAUUUUUAACUUCCAUAUUUUGGUUCAUGCAGACAAAUGUUCAUACAGAGGAAUUGGAAAACUUAAUCCAACAGUUUAUAAGGCAAGUUAUAAAAAUGUCUUAAUCUAAAUUCGAAUUACUUUCUUCUGGAGGAAAAAUAUAGCUGUCAAAAUCAUUGCUGUAGUAACUGCAAUUCUAUCACUUUUGUUAUGUAAUCUUUGGGGAAAUUAGAGAUUACAGAGCCUGUUUCUGAUUCUUAAAGCCUAUACAACAGUCAAAAAAUUGCCUUGAUUCACAACCUGCUACUCUUGAUUUAAAAAAAACAAGUGCAGUCUAGAGAUUGAUGAAUAACCACGGCAUUGACAUCAUUUACUUACAAAGAAGUUACAGCUAUAGCUCUGCAUUAAUCUGUAAAUGCCUAUGAAUGAGAACUUAUUUAUAAAUAUGUUAGGAAAGCAUGUUUGUAAGAUUUACAACUGAUGUAUGAUUUAUCUUACAGAGUUUAUUGUUUCAAUUAUAUGCAAUUAAUAACAGUCAUAAUUUAAGAUUUCUGGUUCAUGAACGGCUGUGCAUAUUGAUUAGCGCUCUCUCAUUUCUCAGCUAGACAUUAAGAAUGUCGUGCUUUGAAUAGUACUUUGCAUGAUGAAAACCUACAGUCCUUAAUAGCAAAUAAUGGCACAGAUCUUUUCUAUGCGAUGUAGAUAAUAUUCAACAUCUAAUUAAUUAGGUACUGAAUUCAGGAUUUGCAGUUGCAGAAUACUAAUGUAAUAUCUAAAAACUUUAGCUCUUACUUCCCUUGGUUAUUAAGGUGAAAAUAUCACUGUGUAACUGGUAUUUCUUGUAGAAUGCAAUAUCAGUAUGCAGUUGUAUCUUUGCUACAUCGGCUUUGUUCAAGGCACUGAUAAAGCACCUCUGGUACCGGGUAGUUGUGCUUAGCAAGGACAAUGAGAGAAGGAUACCAUCCAGCUGCUUUCCUGAAUUACACAUCAUAAGGCUACUGGGUUGAGGCAAUUUCUUGCCCAGGCUUGGCCAAGCUGCCUGAGUGCUAUGGCUCUAACGGGCUGUUUUCUGCAGUAGGAAUAGACAAGGAAUCAGAAAAACCACUUUUGCUAUUGCAAGUGCUGCUAGGAUGCAGCUGCUCCAAUGGUUUUGUGUUCACUGGACAACUGGGUUAUAUUGGCAGACAGAUUUUGUUCUUUCUGUGUUUUAUGUCAGCUCAAGUACCAGGCAGCUUUCCUGUUGCAGCAUCUUUGGACUUGUCUCUGUCAAAGUCUCGAAUUUGCAAUAGGAGGAGAGACGUCUGUGCAGGAAUGUUUUAGUGUUCUCUGGGAGAACAGGGCAAUGAGGGAUACAAAAGUCUGUUCUUUCUGGGUUUCUGUUGUUUGCUUUUAAAGCAUGAUCUAAAAAUGUAAAUAAUUAUAGAGCCCAUGAGUGCUUCCAGGCUGCUCUCAGAGGAGAAACCAGGCCCAGAAAGUCUUUGGUACAGGACAAGUACUAGCAAUCCAAGUUUUCCCAGUUUGACAAAGUCCCUCAGUUCUCUCAAUGUCAAAUCAGUCAAUGCAUUGCUAAAAAUACUUUACUUAUGCACAAAGCCAUCGCAGAUGAAAGGCUGGCGUGCUUUGAAGAGGAAAGCAUCCUAGCUGUCUGAGCUGAUUGAGUACUCCAAAAAAGCAUUCUGCAGAUAGCUGCUCAACUUCGUGAAUGGAUUAGCUUUGGCUACACUCACACUCUUUGUAUUUUUCCCUUGCAUGAACAUAUAGGCUUUUUCUUUUCUUUUUUCUCCUUUUUUUUUGCAAUGGGAAUGCUUGCGGCAAGCUAAUUUUAAUGUGGAAGCACAGACACCAGCAAGUGAUGACUUUUAGUCUUACUUUUGAGGUCUGUUUUAGUCAAGAACAUAACGUGUUAUGUUUAUGCUGUUAGGGAACUAGAACAAUGCACAAGCCCUGAAAGUGAUCAAAGCUGCUGUUACCUGUUUGGGUAGCUCAUCACUACAAUGGCAAUUAAAUUUGUUAUUUAAAUGCUGUUAACUGAUAUCUAAAAUUAUACAGUAUUUUUUCUGAGGUCAAUAAAGGUGUAAACAAAACAAUGUUCAACUUUUGAGAGCUUGCAUUUGUCGUUUGCACUGGAGAUCAUGGUGCAACUUUACCCAGGAGCACAUUUUGGAUCAUCAUAACAUUGGAAGAUGCGCAAUGAUGUGAUAAAAAGGCUGUCUGUUUGCAAAGCAGCAAGGUUAUGACAAGAUACAGUAAGUGGAUGAGACAGGUUGAAAGAGGAACUGGGCAGGGUGAAGCAGUGAACUAAGCAAGAGGUGCUGCUGUUGGCUGAAGUCUCUGAGAGUUUUUUCCAGUAGCCAUCUCCUUACACUGGUGCUGCAGUAGCACUGUGAGAAGGAUGGCGAAGACUGGGAAUGAGUGUCAUGUUUCAAAUACCUGAGGUGUCCCAGGUGGAUGAAGUUCUCCUGAAACUUCUGUAGAAGUUUUUCUUUUGCUAUUUUUGGAAAGGCAAAUAAGCCAUAUCUCAAGAUGGAAAGCUUCUGAAUGGACUUCAGUUUGAUCAUAAUGGAAGUGCAUAUUGUUUUCAAAGACAAAUGAAGGUUAUGAAAGAAGGAGGGAAAGUAGACUGGAUCCAAAUACAACUGAGGGAAGUGUUCAAUUCUCAAAAACCCACGGGCUCUCUUCAUGAUCUAAACAAGUUAUUUAAUGAUCUGAUCACACUGGGAAUUGUGAUCCAUUACUUAAGUGGUAAUGUCAGUGGUCCUGAGAGCUUGGGUUUAGCAAACCACUCUCACAUGAG